AUCUUGCGCAAUGCGCGAAAGCGUGACGCAGCAACGCCGCGUGAGGGAAGACGGCCUUAGGGUUGUAAACCUCUUUCAGGAGGGACGAAGGUCGGCACGUUAAUAGCGUGUCCGACUGACGGUACCUCCACAAGAAGCCCCGGCUAACUACGUGCCAGCAGCCGCGGUAAUACGUAGGGGGCAAGCGUUGUCCGGAAUUAUUGGGCGUAAAGAGCGUGUGGGCGGUCCGGUAAGUCAGCUGUGAAAGUCAAGGGCUCAACCCUUGAAUGCCGGUUGAUACUGUCGGGCUAGAGUCCGGAAGAGGCGAGUGGAAUUCCCGGUGUAGCGGUGAAAUGCGCAGAUAUCGGGAGGAACACCAAUGGCGAAGGCAGCUCGCUGGGACGGUACUGACGCUGAGACGCGAAAGCGUGGGGAGCAAAC
rnacentral:rRNA from 1 species